CCUCCUUAUACGAUUUAGAACUUAUUUGUUCGUAGUGUCCACACAGAUGAUUGUUAGUUAGUUUUACCCUCUGGGUUAACUAAUUAAUAUGCUCUUUAAAAAUUUGGAAAAGCUGAUAAUAAAAUUCGUAUGAAUAACACUGUUAUUUGUACAGAGUUUUCAAAAGUAAAAAAGAAUGAUAGCAGUAUCAUUCAGUGCCAUUUAAUAAACGUUUACGUUUGUUGAUUGGUAUCUACUUUAGUAUUCAAUAUUAACUUCUGGCGAAGUUAAACUGUCACAAAACAAAGACCCGUUUGGGUUGUAUGGUUAAGUGACUAAGCGUACACGGUGGAUGC
rnacentral:misc_RNA from 1 species